AAAGGACUGGCUUGGAUGUAGUGUAUCUCUGCUACAUUUGAUAAAAGUAGGCAGGGAGAAGCUAGUGUGGAAGGUGUACUCAAUCAACUUGUUCUGGAACACCUGCAGCUGGCUCCUCUUCAGUGGGAUGUACUGGUAAAUGGGAAGCCUUGUGACUGUGAUGUUGUAGCUGACUGCAAAGUAGGAGAUCCAGUGCCUCUUGAGGUGAAGUUGACUAAUUGGAGCAAGCAUGCAGUGGGUCCCUUUGCACUGACCAUCAUUCCCUAUCAAGACUACCAGAAUGGAGUCCAUAACUAUGAUCUACAAGAUGCUGUCACCUUCAUUGGAUCCAAUACCUUUUACAUUGACAAAGUGAAUCCCACUGAAAACAUCAUCUGUGACGGUGCUCUUUUAUUCCUCUACACUGGAGAUUAUUACCUGAACAUCAAGUUUCAUGAUGACAAUUCUAGCCGGGAGCUUCCCUUAGCUUGGUUCUGCUUGCCAAGUAUUCAUAUCAAAGCCGUGGACCCUGAAUUUGAAACCAAAUUUUAAACAGUGUCAGCACUACCUCUUCCCCUGCUCUUCCCCCUCACCCCCCCCAACCCACCCCCUCAGGUUUCUGUAUAUUUUGGAGUGAUAUUGCUUACUGAAGCAAAUGUAUUCUGCUGAGGAUGUUAUGCUGGGGUGACAUGACAUAACAGAUAUUCUGAACUCAAUCAAGGAGGACGUAUUAAAAAAAUGUAUUUUAGGAUAAAAAUGCCUUUGACUUACCGUAUUUCUAUGUUGCGACUAUACCCCUGAAAAAAUAAAGAAUGAAAAAAAAACUAGUAUGUGAACAUAGAUUUCAAGAAAAGGACAAAAUAAAUCUAUUUAAGGCAGCAACUUUUAUUGUAGCUUGGGUCACAUUUACAGUGACCCAGAACUAUCAGUCUCAGUUUUAUCCCUUGGACAAACAGGCAUUAAAGAGUAUACCUAAGCAGCAAUGCCAUGCACAGUGGGAGGUGCAGAUUACUGCUUCGUUUUUAGAAGGCACGAUCUCGAGCCCAGGGCCUCUACAAAGACUAGAUUCUAGAAACAGUACAGUAAUCAGUCUGAAUUUCACUUAGUGUAUUGUCCCAGGAACAUUGCAGUAUAAAAUAUACAAAUGUAUGUAAUACUUAUAACCAAGUAUCUUUUGUGCAAUGAAGAGAAAUAAAAACAACAAGUCAUGAUUUAAACAAUAAAAUUGAAGUUAAUAUAAGAAUAAGAAAGUGUUUUACGAUAUUUGUAUUUGGCUUUUGCCCCAUUAAAGUACCAUAAUUUCAGUAUAGAGCUCAGCUGAAUAUUUUAUGCUAAUCCACAUAAAACUGAAGUUUAAUUACAUGAGUACUUUUUUAUUUUGUGUAUUUUGAGAAGAGUAUACUGUUACGACAAGCAUCAAGUAUAAAAUCAACAAUUAGACUGUGAAACCAUCUGCAAAUAAUUGAAAGAAAAUGAUCAUAAUUAAGGAAUUGUAAGACAGCCUAAUAUUGUACAUACUGUACCCAAGGAAUUGCAAUAUCUCUGUCUUUUUGAGACACCAAAUUGGCCAAAAUAUAUGCCAAUUUGGGGGAUUUGUCCAAAUAGUUUGUGAGCAGGUCUAUCAACUCCUAAGGAAUACAGUUGCUUCUGGUACUGCUGAUUUUUCAUUGUAUGUUUGGUUACACUGUCAAUGUUAAAAUAAGCUGAAAUGUCUAGAAAUGCAGCAUUUGUGAGUAUAUGAACUUCAACACCGCUUUGUGAAUAAUUAUAAAAAGUUGGUGAUCACUUGAGUUUUUGACUUGUCGAUAAUAUUACCUGUGCCUCAAUAAAUAUUCCCUCUGAAAAAUAAAACUCAAUGCAAUUGCAGGAGAUUAAUUUAAGAAAUUCACAUAUACAAAAUUUUUGUGUAAUAAAAUUUUAAGUGUAAUCAGAUUUGUUUUGGUGGAAAUAAAGGUUGGAUAUAAUCUUUU